rnacentral:sRNA from 1 species
CCUUUGUGACGCACCUAGCAGUUUCUUCGGCAGAAGGCCCUUCAGGGGGCGGCCCGCCGGAGGCAUACCAACUCUUGUUUUUUUGGCAUCUCUGAGUAGCUUAUGAAAUAAGUUAAAACUUUCAACAACGGAUCUCUUGGUUCUGGCAUCGAUGAAGAACGCAGCGAAAUGCGAUACGUAAUGUGAAUUGCAGAAUUCAGUGAAUCAUCGAAUCUUUGAACGCACAUUGCGCCCGCCAGUAUUCUGGCGGGCAUGCCUGUUCGAGCGUCAUUUCAACCGUCAAGCCCCAGGCUUGUGUUGGAGCCCUGCGGCCGCCCGCAGCCUCCUAAAACCAGUGGCGGGCUUGCAAACAUCCCGAGCGCAGUAGUUUACUCCUCUCUCUGGCAUGUAGCAGGUUCCAGCCGUGAAACCCCCCCACGGCGAGUGAAGCGGCAACAGCUCAAAUUUGAAAUCUGGCUCCGGCCCGAGUUGUAAUUUGCAGAGGAAGCUUCUGGUGAUAUACUGUCUAAGUCCCCUGGAACGGGGCGCCACAGUGGGUGAGAGCCCCAUUUGACAGCUGUAGAUCCUGUGUGAAGCUCCUUCGACGAGUCGAGUAGUUUGGGAAUGCUGCUCAAAAUGGGAGGUAAAUUCCUUCUAAAGCUAAAUAUUGGCCAGAGACCGAUAGCGCACAAGUAGAGUGAUCGAAAGAUGAAAAGCACUUUGAAAAGAGAGUUAAACAGCACGUGAAAUUGUUGAAAGGGAAGCGCUUGUGACCAGACUUGCGCUGGGCUGAUCAUCCGGUGUUCUCACCGGUGCACUCGGCCCAGCUCAGGCCAGCAUCGGUUUUGGUGGGGGGAUAAAGGCGCUGGGAACGUAGCUCCUCCGGGAGUGUUAUAGCCCAGCGUGCAAUACCCCCGCUGGGACCGAGGUUUGCGCAUCUGCAAGGAUGCUGGCGUAAUGGUCAUCAGCGACCCGUCUUGAAACACGGACCAAGGAGUCAAGGUUUUGCGCGAGUGUUUGGGUGUCAAACCCGCACGCGUAAUGAAAGUGAACGUAGGUGAGAGCUUCGGCGCAUCAUCGACCGAUCCUGAUGUAUUCGGAUGGAUUUGAGUAAGAGCGUU